GAUGAACGCUGGCGGCGUGCCUAAUACAUGCCAGUCGAGCGAACAGACGAGGAGCUUGCUCCUCUGACGUUAGCGGCGGACGGGUGAGUAACACGUGGAUAACCUACCUAUAAGACUGGGAUAACUUCGGGAAACCGGAGCUAAUACCGGAUAAUAUAUUGAACCGCAUGGUUCAAUAGUGAAAGACGGUUUUGCUGUCACUUAUAGAUGGAUCCGCGCCGCAUUAGUUAGUUGGUAAGGUAACGGCUUACCAAGGCAACGAUGCGUAGCCGACCUGAGAGGGUGAUCGGCCACACUGGAACUGAGACACGGUCCAGACUCCUACGGGAGGCAGCAGUAGGGAAUCUUCCGCAAUGGGCGAAAGCCUGACGGAGCAACGCCGCGUGAGUGAUGAAGGUCUUCGGAUCGUAAAACUCUGUUAUUAGGGAAGAACAAAUGUGUAAGUAACUAUGCACGUCUUGACGGUACCUAAUCAGAAAGCCACGGCUAACUACGUG
rnacentral:rRNA from 1 species